rnacentral:tRNA from 1 species
GCCUAGAUAGCUCAGUUGGCAGAGCGCAUUCUUGGUAAGAAUGAGGUCUCGGGUUCGAAUCCCGAUCUGGGCU